CUUGUUUUCCAAAACAUGUCUUAAUGUUUAAAAUUUAUAUUAAGUCUAACCUGCUCAAUGAUUAAAAUUAAAUAGCCGCAGUAUUUUGACUGUGCGAAGGUAGCAUAAUCAUUUGUCUUUUAAUUGAAGGCUUGUAUGAAUGGUUGGAUGAGGGAAUAACUUUCUUUAUAUCAAUUUAACUGAAUUUAAUUUUUAGGUUAAAAAGCUUAAAUAAAUAAAUGGGACGAGAAGACCCUAUAGAAUUUUAUUUAUUUUAUUAAUUCUUUAUUAUUGGGCUUUUAUUAUGAAUAAUUAAUAAAUAACUUUUGUUGGGGUGACAGUGAGAUUUUUUGAACUCUCAUAAAUUGAAUUUUAUUGAUUUGUAUUUUUAAGAUCCUAUUUUAAGGAUAUAUAGAUUAAAUUACCUUAGGGAUAACAGCGUUAUUUUUUCUGAGAGUUCUUAUCGAAGAAGGAGUUUGCGACCUCGAUGUUGGAUUAAAAUUAGUUUUAAGUGCAGAAGCUUAAUAUCUAGGUCUGUUCGACCUUUAAAAUUUUACAUGAUUGGUUUUCAAACCGG
rnacentral:rRNA from 1 species